UGGGGAAUAUUGCACAAUGGGCGCAAGCCUGAUGCAGCCAUGCCGCGUGUAUGAAGAAGGCCUUCGGGUUGUAAAGUACUUUCAGCGGGGAGGAAGGGAGUGAAGUUAAUACCUUUGCUCAUUGACGUUACCCGCAGAAGAAGCACCGGCUAACUCCGUGCCAGCAGCCGCGGUAAUACGGAGGGUGCAAGCGUUAAUCGGAAUUACUGGGCGUAAAGCGCACGCAGGCGGUUUGUUAAGUCAGAUGUGAAAUCCCCGGGCUCAACCUGGGAACUGACUCUGAUACUGGCAAGCUUGAGUCUCGUAGAGGGGGGUAGAAUUCCAGGUGUAGCGGUGAAAUGCGUAGAGAUCUGGAGGAAUACCGGUGGCGAAGGCGGCCCCCUGGACGAAGACUGACGCUCAGGUGCGAAAGCGUGGGGAGCAAACAGG
rnacentral:rRNA from 1 species